rnacentral:rRNA from 1 species
CCCAGAAGCCAUAUCACCCUACAACUGAAGCUAAGCAGGUAUGAGCCUGGUCAGUACCUGGAUGGGAGACCUCCUGGGAAAAACUAAGGUUGCUACUGGAA